AGAGUUUGAUCCUGGCUCAGGAUGAACGCUAGCGGCAGGCCUAACACAUGCAAGUCGAGGGGCAGCGCGGGCAGCAAUGCCUGGCGGCGACCGGCGCACGGGUGAGCAACGCGUAUGCAACCUGCCCUCCACAGGGGGAUAGCCCGCCGAAAGGCGGAUUAAUACCCCAUGGCCCCCCCGGCCGACAUCGGCUGGGGGGUAAAGGAUUCGUCCGGUGGAGGAUGGGCAUGCGUGCCAUUAGCUGGCUGGCGGGGUAACGGCCCACCAGGGCGACGAUGGCUAGGGGGCCUGAGAGGGUGGUCCCCCACACUGGUACUGAGACACGGACCAGACUCCUACGGGAGGCAGCAGUGAGGAAUAUUGGUCAAUGGGCGGAAGCCUGAACCAGCCAUGCCGCGUGCAGGAAGACGGCCCUACGGGUUGUAAACUGCUUUUCCGGGGGAAGAAUAAUCCCGACGAGUCGGGAGAUGCCGGUACCCCGGGAAUAAGGAUCGGCUAACUCCGUGCCAGCAGCCGCGGUAAUACGGAGGAUCCGAGCGUUAUCCGGAUUUACUGGGUUUAAAGGGUGCGUAGGCGGGCGCCUAAGUCAGCGGUGAAAGGCUGCGGCUCAACCAAUGUAAGCCUUUGGAACUGACGAGCUUGAGUGCAGGAGAGGUAAGUGGAAUUCCUAGUGUAGAGGUGAAAUUCGUAGAUAUUAGGAGGAACACCAGUGGCGAAGGCGACUUACUGGACUGUAACUGACACUGAGGCACGAAAGCGUGGGGAGCGAACAGGAUUAGAUACCCUGGUAGUCC
rnacentral:rRNA from 1 species